UACGUAGGGCGCAAGCGUUAUCCGGAAUUAUUGGGCGUAAAGAGCUCGUAAGCGGUUUGUCGCGUCUGCUGUGAAAGACCGGGGCUCAACUCCGGUUCUGCAGUGGGUACGGGCAGACUAGAGUGCAGUAGGGGAGACUGGAAUCCCUGGUGUAGCGGUGAAAUGCGCAGAUAUCAGGAGGAACACCGAUGGCGAAGGCAGGUCUCUGGGCUGUAACUGACGCUGAGGAGCGAAAGCAUGGGGAGCGAACAGG
rnacentral:rRNA from 1 species